GUAUUUCCCAAAGGAAGGCAGGUAGGUCAAAAGAGUUUACUAUGCAUAUGAGUUACCAUAGAUGGAUAGAGACAAUACUCAAGGCAGGGGUAAGAUAAUCAUAGAUAUGUAGUGUGACACACACAUGAAUCAUCUCAAGAUAACUAAGCUAGGGCGAAGGACUAAAAGUUAGCUCUAGGUUCAUAUGUACUCAUAUAUACUGCACAAAUCAUACAAGCAUAACAUACAUACACAUUGUAUAGGACUCAGGCCUAUGCACCCAAGCACACAUGGGGAGACAGUACGUACCGGUUCCGCCUAGCAAAGUUACUGCUAAUUUCUAAACUCCUACGGCGUACCCGAACGUGGGGGGUUACAGAGGACAGACAAGGUUGUCACCACCUGCCGCCUACCCCUAGCAAUCCAUGGGGCAAACUCAUAUCCA
rnacentral:lncRNA from 1 species